GAUGAACGCUGGCGGCGUGCCUAAUACAUGCAAGUCGAGCGAACGGACGAGAAGCUUGCUUCUCUGAUGUUAGCGGCGGACGGGUGAGUAACACGUGGAUAACCUACCUAUAAGACUGGGAUAACUUCGGGAAACCGGAGCUAAUACCGGAUGAUAUUUUGAACCGCAUGGUUCAAAAGUGAAAGACGGUCUUGCUGUCACUUAUAGAUGGAUCCGCGCUGCAUUAGCUAGUUGGUAAGGUAACGGCUUACCAAGGCAACGAUGCAUAGCCGACCUGAGAGGGUGAUCGGCCACACUGGAACUGAGACACGGUCCAGACUCCUACGGGAGGCAGCAGUAGGGAAUCUUCCGCAAUGGGCGAAAGCCUGACGGAGCAACGCCGCGUGAGUGAUGAAGCUCUUCGGAUCGUAAAACUCUGUUAUUAGGGAAGAACAUAUGUGUAAGUAACUGUGCACAUCUUGACGGUACCUAAUCAGAAAGCCACGGCUAACUACGUG
rnacentral:rRNA from 1 species